ACUGGUCUGAGAGGAUGAUCAAACACACUGAAACUGAGACACGGACCAAACUCCUACGGAAGGCAGAAGUGGGGAAUAUUGAACAAUGGAAAAAAGCCUGAUCCAGCCAUGCCACAAGAGAGAAAAAGGACUUCGGAUUGUAAAACACUUUAAGUUGGGAGGAAGGGAAGAAAGUUAAAAACAUGCUGAUUUGACGUUACCAACAGAAUAAGCACCGGCUAACUUCAUGCCAGCAACCGCGGAAAUACAAAAGGUGCAAGCGUUAAUCAGAAUUACUGGACGUAAAAGGCACGUAAGUGGAUCAAAAAAAUGGAUGUGAAAUCCCCGGACUCAACCUGGGAACUGAAUCCAAAACUACUGAAAUAAAGAACAAAAAGAAGAAGGGAAAUUCCUAAGAAACGGAGAAAUGCAAAAAUAUAAGAAGAACACCAAAGACAAGGCAACACCUGAACUGAUACUGAAACUGAGGAAAAAAAACGAGAGGAGCAAACGAGAUAGAUACCCUGGAAAAACACGCCGAAAACGAAGACAAAUAACCGUUGG
rnacentral:rRNA from 1 species